UGGAUGGCCUUGGUGACGGCUAGUGUGUGGAGGUGAGCUCCAGGAUUGCGUGGUUGCCUCAUGCUGCAGGCUGCGGCCGUCAGCCCCCACUCGCAUUGGUGGCGCUGAGGUGCCGGGGCAGCAAGCGACAUGUCGUCGGGCCUCCGCGCCGCUGACUUCCCCCGCUGGAAGCGCCACAUCUCGGAGCAACUGAGGCGCCGGGACCGGCUGCAGAGACAGGCGUUCGAGGAGAUCAUCCUGCAGUAUAACAAAUUGCUGGAAAAGUCAGAUCUUCAUUCAGUGUUGGCCCAGAAACUACAGGCUGAAAAGCAUGACGUACCAAACAGGCAUGAGAUAAGUCCUGGACAUGAUGGCACAUGGAAUGACAGUCAGCUACAAGAAAUGGCCCAACUGAGGAUUAAGCACCAAGAGGAACUGACUGAAUUACACAAGAAACGUGGGGAGUUAGCUCAAUUGGUGAUUGACCUGAAUAACCAAAUGCAGCGGAAGGACAGGGAGAUGCAGAUGAAUGAAGCAAAAAUUGCAGAAUGUUUGCAGACUAUCUCUGACCUGGAGACGGAGUGCCUAGACCUGCGCACUAAGCUUUGUGACCUUGAAAGAGCCAACCAGACCCUGAAGGAUGAAUAUGAUGCCCUGCAGAUCACUUUUACUGCCUUGGAGGGAAAACUGAGGAAAACUACGGAAGAGAACCAGGAGCUGGUCACCAGAUGGAUGGCUGAGAAAGCCCAGGAAGCCAAUCGGCUUAACGCAGAGAAUGAAAAAGACUCCAGGAGGCGGCAAGCCCGGCUGCAGAAAGAGCUUGCAGAAGCAGCAAAAGAACCUCUACCAGUCGAACAGGAUGAUGACAUUGAGGUCAUCGUGGAUGAAACCUCUGAUCACACAGAAGAGACCUCUCCUGUGCGAGCCAUCAGCAGAGCAGCCACUAAGCGACUCUCACAGCCUGCUGGAGGCCUUCUGGAUUCUAUCACUAAUAUCUUUGGGAGACGCUCUGUCUCUUCCUUCCCAGUCCCCCAGGACAAUGUGGAUACUCAUCCUGGUUCUGGUAAAGAAGUGAGGGUACCAACUACUGCCUUGUGUGUGUUCGAUGCACAUGAUGGGGAAGUCAAUGCUGUGCAGUUCAGUCCAGGUUCCCGGUUACUGGCCACCGGAGGCAUGGACCGCAGGGUUAAGCUUUGGGAAGUAUUUGGAGAAAAAUGUGAGUUCAAGGGUUCCCUAUCUGGCAGUAAUGCAGGAAUUACAAGCAUUGAAUUUGAUAGUGCUGGAUCUUACCUCUUAGCAGCUUCAAAUGAUUUUGCAAGCCGAAUCUGGACUGUGGAUGAUUAUCGGUUACGGCACACACUCACGGGACACAGUGGGAAAGUGCUGUCUGCUAAGUUCCUGCUGGACAAUGCGCGGAUUGUCUCAGGAAGUCACGACCGGACUCUCAAACUCUGGGAUCUACGCAGCAAAGUCUGUGAGGAAAUUCAGUCUCUCUGUCUGUGUGUAUGCUUAGAUGUUAGUGUGGAGGUGUGUGUUUGCACGUCAGAGCCUGCAUUUAUGUAAUAUAGUUUGAAUUUCAGAUCUGGCUUCAUGUUUAGAGGGGCACUGAGAGUAGUGAUAGUUUUUCUUGUUUAAAGCUUCAUUUAAGUGAGUAACUCUGACAAGUCCGUGGUUAGAGGGUAGCAGCAUUAUGUAAACAGCCACGUUGGUGCCUCUGCUUGAUUAAUGAUGUUUGCAUUUCUUGCAGGCAUAAAGACAGUGUUUGCAGGAUCCAGUUGCAAUGAUAUUGUCUGCACAGAGCAAUGUGUAAUGAGUGGACAUUUUGACAAGAAAAUUCGUUUCUGGGACAUUCGAUCAGAGAGCAUAGUUCGAGAGAUGGAGCUGUUGGGAAAGAUUACUGCCCUGGACUUAAACCCAGAAAGGACUGAGCUCCUGAGCUGCUCCCGUGAUGACUUGCUAAAAGUUAUCGAUCUCCGAACAAAUGCUAUCAAGCAGACGUUCAGUGCACCUGGGUUCAAGUGUGGCUCUGACUGGACCAGAGUUGUCUUCAGCCCUGAUGGCAGUUACGUGGCGGCAGGCUCUGCUGAGGGCUCUCUCUAUAUCUGGAGUGUGCUCACAGGGAAAGUGGAAAAGGUUCUUUCAAAGCAGCACAGCUCAUCCAUCAAUGCGGUGGCGUGGUCGCCCUCUGGCUUGCACGUUGUCAGUGUGGACAAAGGAUGCAAAGCUGUGCUGUGGGCACAGUAUUGACGGGGCUCUCAGGGCUGGGAGGACCCCAGUGCCCUCCUCAGAAGAAGCACGUGGGCUCCUGCAGCCCUGUCCUGGCAGGUGAUGUGCUGGGUAUAGCAUGGACCUCCCAGAGAAGCUCAAGCUAUGUGGCACUGUAGCUUUGCCAUGAACGGGAUUUCUGAAGAUUUGACUGAGGUCUCUCUUGGCCUGGAAGAAGAACACUGAAAAAACCUGACGCUGCGGUCACUUAGCAGAGGCUCAGGUUCUUGCCUUGGGAAACACUACUAGCUCUGACCUUCCAUACCUCACUUGGGGGAGCACAGGGCCCCGCUGGGCCUUCUCACCAACGGCAGUGCCAAAAACAGCCCCCACAUCAAGGUGGUGUUCUCUGUGCUUUCUCUCGUCCUUCCAAAGUCGGUUCUGGCCUAACGCAUGUCCCAACACCUUGGGGUCGUUUGCCCAGUGAACUCACUUUAAGCAUUGGAUUAACGGAAACUCCCAGACUACAGACCCCUCCCUGGUGGGUUGCAUGAAUGUGUCUCAUUACUGCUGAAAUGUCCUCACAUCUCUUCCACUGUUCUUCAGAGCUUUCUGGCUCUCUUUCCCCCACAAGAUUCGACAUAUUUAAAAAUCUCUGGCUUUAAAAAAUGGUUUUUUGUUUUUUUGAGGUGGGAGAGGAUGUGUGAACAUCUUUUCCACAGAAAUGGGUUUGCUGCAGAGGUAAGGAUGUGUUCCUGUAUCGAUCUGCAGACACCCAGAAGGUGGGUGCACACUGCAUGCUUAGGGGUGCCAAGGGAUUCGAGACCUCCAACAUAUUUGUCUGAAGCUGGUGAUUCUGGCCACGGCCCCUCUGCCAAGCCUGUGUGUGAUGCCCUUGGUUCUUUAGUGCAAGAAGCCUAGGCUCAGAAGCACAGCAGCGCCAUCUCUCCGUUUCAGGGGUUGUGAUGAAGGCCAAGGAAAAACAUUUAUCUUUACCAUUUUACCUGUGUAUAAAGUUUUAGUUCAUUGGGUGUGUGAAACACCCUUUUUAUCACUUUUAAAUUUGCACUUUAUUUUUUUCUUCCAUGCUUGUUCUCUGGACAUUUGGGGAUGUGAGUGCUAGAGCCGGUGAGAGAGGAGUCAGGCGGCCUUCCCACCGAUGGUCCUGGCCUCCACCUGCCUUCUCUUUCCUGCCUGAUCACCGCUUUCCAAUUUGCCCUUCAGAGAACUUAAGUCAAGGAGAGUUGACAUUCACACGCCAGGGCACAUCUUUUAUUUAUUUCAUUAUGUUGGCCAACAGAACUUGAUUGUAAAUAAUAAUAAAGAAAUCUGUUAUAUACUUUUC
rnacentral:sRNA from 1 species